rnacentral:lncRNA from 1 species
AUAAGGAAUGCGAUAUGGAGCUUGAUAUAUUGGAGGUGAAUCACCUCAUAUCGAUUUGCUUGUCAUUUAAUCUCUGCCCACCUAAGGUACUACAGAGUUAUCAAAGCCUCGGCAUAAUCAUAGCCUGCCACUUGGGUGCGGUCUCGCCUGCCACCUCUGGGUCCACAGAGUGCAGGGGACACAAACGCAGCAGCCUCGCUCAGGGUUCACCAGCCCUAGGGGUAAGACCACUGCAUCCGAAUCCCAUGCACUAUUGUCGCUUCAGCGACCUUAAUGCGCCGAGUACGCCUUAGUUCUCAAAGGAACCUAAGGCACAAAGAGACACAGUCUACACUUCACCCUUAG